UACGGAGGGAGCUAGCGUUGUUCGGAAUUACUAGGCGUAAAGCGCACGUAGGCGGCUUUUUAAGUCAGGGGUGAAAUCCCGGGGCUCAACCCCGGAACUGCCCUUGAAACUGGAGAGCUAGAAUCUUGGAGAGGCGAGUGGAAUUCCGAGUGUAGAGGUGAAAUUCGUAGAUAUUCGGAAGAACACCAGUGGCGAAGGCGACUCGCUGGACAAGUAUUGACGCUGAGGUGCGAAAGCGUGGGGAGCAAACAGG
rnacentral:rRNA from 1 species